GGCCCCGUAGCUUAGCCUGGUUAGAGCGUACGACUGAUAAUCGUAAGGAUGAAAAAUCCCGAUUAAGGUCUGGAGUUCAAAUCUCCGCGGGGCCA
rnacentral:tRNA from 1 species